rnacentral:rRNA from 1 species
UACGAAGGGGGCUAGCGUUGCUCGGAAUUACUGGGCGUAAAGGGAGCGUAGGCGGCCAUUUAAGUCAGGGGUGAAAUCCCAGAGCUCAACUCUGGAACUGCCUUUGAUACUGGGUGUCUUGAGUGUGAGAGAGGUAUGUGGAACUCCGAGUGUAGAGGUGAAAUUCGUAGAUAUUCGGAAGAACACCAGUGGCGAAGGCGACAUACUGGCUCAUUACUGACGCUGAGGCUCGAAAGCGUGGGGAGCAAACAGG